rnacentral:rRNA from 1 species
AUUGAACGCUGGCGGCAGGCCUAACACAUGCAAGUCGAGCGGGGUUUUCGGACCUAGCGGCGGACGGGUGAGUAAUGCGUAGGAAGCUACCCGAUAGAGGGGGAUACCAGUUGGAAACGACUGUUAAUACCGCAUAAUGUCUACGGACCAAAGUGUGGGACCUUCGGGCCACAUGCUAUCGGAUGCGCCUACGUGGGAUUAGCUAGUUGGUGGGGUAAUGGCUCACCAAGGCGACGAUCCCUAGCUGGUUUGAGAGGAUGAUCAGCCACACUGGGACUGAGACAAGGUACAGACUCCUACGGGAGGCAGCAGUGGGGAAUAUUGGACAAUGGGCGCAAGCAUGGUCCAGCCAUGCCGCGUGUGUGAAGAAGGUCUUCGGGUUGUAAAGCACUUUCAGUAGGGAGGAAGGGUGUUGUGUUAAUAGCACAGCAUUUUGACGUUACCUACAGAAGAAGCACCGGCUAACUCUGUGCCAGCAGCCGCCGUAAGAC